ACGCGAAGGUUCCCAGCGGAGAGGAAGCGGUCUUGAACGACACCUCUCUAACACAUAAUUUACACCUUCGCAAACGGAGAUUGGCCAUCUUAAACGCGCUUCUGAAAAUUUCAAUUUUAGAUGCGUUUUGAACCCUUUGGCUAUAUUUUC